CCAAUAGCGUAUAUUAAAGUUGUUGCAGUUAAAAAGCUCGUAGUUGAACCUCGGGGUCUACCCAUUGGUCAGGCUUAAUUGUCUGCACUGGUGAGAUGGAUCUCUACCUUCUGAGGAACUUUCAUGCCAUUUAUUUGGUGUGAUGGGAAAUCAGGACUGUUACUUUGAAAAAAUUAGAUUGUUUAAAGCAGACUAUCGUCUGAAUACAUUAGCAUGGAAUAAUGAAAUAGGACGGACUGAUUCUAUUUCGUUGGUUUCUAGGAUCACCGUAAUGAUUAAUAGGGAUAGUUGGGGGCAUUAGUAUUCAAUUGUCAGAGGUGAAAUUCUUGGAUUUAUUGAAGACUAACUACUGCGAAAGCAUUUGCCAAGGAUGUUUUCAUUAAUCAAGAACGAAAGUUAGGGGAUCGAAGACGAUCAGAUACCGUCGUAGUCUUAACCAUAAACUAUGCCGACUAGGGAUCGGACGAAGUUAAUUUUAUAAUGACGCGUUCGGCACCUUACG
rnacentral:rRNA from 1 species